CAGCCUGAUGCAGCGACGCCGCGUGCGGGAUGGAGGCCUUCGGGUUGUAAACCGCUUUUGUCGGGGAGCAAGCCUUCGGGUGAGUGUACCCUUCGAAUAAGCACCGGCUAACUACGUGCCAGCAGCCGCGGUAAUAA
rnacentral:rRNA from 1 species